rnacentral:misc_RNA from 1 species
GGAAACAUUAGUCAUAAUGUGACUGAACUGAAUAUGACAAGUUCAGUAGAAUAAUAAUGUAAAAAGGUCCUUUCAUGUAAAAAGUGUUCCGCUUGGAUACAUCAUUCAUAAAGCAAGGUAAGGCAAUAAAUAAAAUCUCAUCCACAUACCUUCUCUCCACUGUCAUUACCAACAACCCUGAUCUCUAGUCCUACACAAGCAUCCUCCGGAGCAAGGGGAAUCUCAUCAUAGCUCAAAAAUUGUAUUGCAGCAGGAUCAUAACGGAAGAAUCCGAAGUCAUGAAUGGGGUCUCUAUAAAUGGGAUAGAUAGGUAUCUCUUCACGGUUCACAAACAUAGCUUCAGCCACCACGGGUCCAGGUUUUACAACAUGCCGAUUUGUAAGUAUAAUCCCGCGACGCUUAUCAACGACGAAGCCCGUAGCAUAACUUGCACCAGCAGCCUCGGUGUCAAAUGCUCGGCAAGCAUUGGUCCGGAGAACGACAACGGCGGGAACUACCUUGUCAAGAGCCUUUCGCCAAUCUUCUGUGGUAGCGAGACUCUCCUUGAACGGAGGAUCUAUAUCCAUAGACAAUUCCUCCUUCAUUAUACUCGAUUCAGGUCCCAAUGCUUCCUCGGAUCCUAACCUCUCCAGCAAAUCGCCCAUUACGAAACCCUAAUUUCCCUGUCGGAGUAUCAAUGACGCAAAGACGAAGUCCGAGAAUGCUAGUUAUGAUGCAAAGAUAUGUUGCCGACUCCGAUGGAAGGGGAGAGAAUAUUCCGGCGAGGAUUAAGGAUGUUGUUUUCAACGAGUAUUAGAAGAUCGGCGGCGAGUGCGUAGUUGAAUUGGCGCUGACAAUCUGACAAGUGCU